rnacentral:rRNA from 1 species
UCUUUUCCUUUUUUUUCAGCCGCCGCGGUAAUACGUAGGUGGCGAGCGUUGUCCGGAAUUAUUGGGCGUAAAGAGCAUGUAGGCGGCUUAAUAAGUCGAGCGUGAAAAUGCGGGGCUCAACCCCGUAUGGCGCUGGAAACUGUUAGGCUUGAGUGCAGGAGAGGAAAGGGGAAUUCCCAGUGUAGCGGUGAAAUGCGUAGAUAUUGGGAGGAACACCAGUGGCGAAGGCGCCUUUCUGGACUGUGUCUGACGCUGAGAUGCGAAAGCCAGGGUAGCGAACGGG